GAUCAUGGCUCAGGAUGAACGCUAGCUACAGGCUUAACACAUGCAAGUCGAGGGGUAGCAGGGUAGCAAUACCGCUGACGACCGGCGCACGGGUGAGUAACACGUAUCCAACUUCCCAUAACUCUGGGAUAGCCUUUCGAAAGAAAGAUUAAUACCGGAUGGACUUUUUUCAAGGCAUCCUGAGAAAGUUAAAGAUUUAUUGGUUAUGGAUGGGGAUGCGUUCCAUUAGAUAGUUGGUGAGGUAACGGCUCACCAAGUCUUCGAUGGAUAGGGGUUCUGAGAGGAAGGUCCCCCACAUUGGUACUGAGACACGGACCAAACUCCUACGGGAGGCAGCAGUGAGGAAUAUUGGUCAAUGGGCGAGAGCCUGAACCAGCCAAGUAGCGUGAAGGAUGAAGGUCCUAUGGAUUGUAAACUUCUUUUAUAGUAGAAUAAAGUGACCCACGUGUGGGUUUUUGUAUGUAUACUAUGAAUAAGGAUCGGCUAACUCCGUGCCAGCCGCCGC
rnacentral:rRNA from 1 species